GACAGCUUGGCCGAGUGGUUAAGGCGAUAGACUAGAANUCUAUUGGGGUAACCCGCGUGAGUUCAAAUCUCACAGCUGUCG
rfam:Phytophthora nicotianae strain race 0 contig1364, whole genome shotgun sequence.